AGCUCAUGAUGAGAUGCUGGGUGAACUCACCUGAACAGAGACCCUCCUCCAAAGAUUGCACAACUGAGACAGAAAGACUGUACGAGAAAUACAAACAUGGAAUUGAUGAUGCCGUCCAUCGAGUCCUGACCAAACUGAAAGGAAAAGAACCAACAGAGCAGAGACAAAAAGAUCAGUUAUCUACAGGUCUGGUAUUUUAAAAUAUCUUGAAGCUUCAUUUGUUCUGUGUUGUGUCUUAUUUUUUCUUCAAAAUUCCACACGCAACACCCUAU